UAGGGAAUCUUCCGCAAUGGGCGAAAGCCUGACGGAGCAACGCCGCGUGAGUGAUGAAGGUCUUCGGAUCGUAAAACUCUGUUAUUAGGGAAGAACAUAUGUGUAAGUAACUGUGCACAUCUUGACGGUACCUAAUCAGAAAGCCACGGCUAACUACGUGCCAGCAGCCGCGGUAAUACGUAGGUGGCAAGCGUUAUCCGGAAUUAUUGGGCGUAAAGCGCGCGUAGGCGGUUUUUUAAGUCUGAUGUGAAAGCCCACGGCUCAGCCGUGGAGGGUCAUUGGAAACUGGAAAACUUGAGUGCAGAAGAGGAAAGUGGAAUUCCAUGUGUAGCGGUGAAAUGCGCAGAGAUAUGGAGGAACACCAGUGGCGAAGGCGACUUUCUGGUCUGUAACUGACGCUGAUGUGCGAAAGCGUGGGGAUCAAACAGGAUUAGAUACCCUGGUAGUCCACGCCGUAAACGAUGAGUGCUAAGUGUUAGGGGGUUUCCGCCCCUUAGUGCUGCAGCUAACGCAUUAAGCACUCCGCCUGGGGAGUACGACCGCAAGGUU
rnacentral:rRNA from 1 species